GUGCCAGCCGCUGCGGUAAUACGUAGGUGGCAAGCGUUGUCCGGAUUUAUUGGGCGUAAAGGGAACGCAGGCGGUCUUUUAAGUCUGAUGUGAAAGCCUUCGGCUUAACCGAAGUCGGGCAUUGGAAACUGGGAGACUUGAGUGCAGAAGAGGAGAGUGGAACUCCAUGUGUAGCGGUGAAAUGCGUAGAUAUAUGGAAGAACACCAGUGGCGAAAGCGGCUCUCUGGUCUGUAACUGACGCUGAGGUUCGAAAGCAUGGGUAGCAAACAGGAUUAGAUACCCUGGUAGUCCAUGCCGUAAACGAUGAAUGCUAAGUGUU
rnacentral:rRNA from 1 species